rnacentral:sRNA from 1 species
UAUUUGAUUUUUGUUUUUCUCUUGUUUCAGGGUCGUUAAUUGGAAACCUUCUAUGGAUGCUUCGCCGUUUUUAAGAUAAGUGCAUUUUGUGUUGUUUUCCGUUUUGUUAUUUGUUGUUUAAUUUUGUUAAUUUGUGAGUUCUUUUUAUUUUUCUCGUUGCAGGUCAGCUUAUUAUCAUCUCCAGGGGCAGAUAGAAGCGUCGUUAGUCAUCCUCGUCAAGUUUGUUGCCGUUUUUCAGGUGAGUAUGUAUUUUAAGUUUUUGCUAGUUAUGGUUUAGUUAUUAAUUAGAUGAAUUUUUGAUCUUUCUCUUUGCAGGUAAGCUUAUUAACUUCUAUAAGGGCAGAUAAAAGCAUCGCUGUUCAUCCUCGUCGAAUUUUGGCCGUUUUGCAGGUAGGUUUAUUAGCGUCUCCAGGGACAGUUAAAAACAUCGCUGAUCAUCUUCGUUGGAUUUUUGGCCGCUUUGCAGGUAGGUUUAUUAGCGUCUUCAGGGACAGUUAAAAGCAUCGUUGAUCAUCUUCGUUGGAUUAUUAGCCGCUUUGCAGGUGAGUGUAUAUUGUGAACUUU